AAUGAACGCUGGCGGCGCGCCUAAUACAUGCAAGUCGAGCGAGAAGACGUAGCAAUACGUUUGUAAAGCGGCGAACGGGUGAGGAAUACAUGGGUAACCUACCCUAGAGUGGGGAAUAACUAGCCGAAAGGUUAGCUAAUACCGCGUACGCUCCUUGGACUUCGGUUCAGGGAGGAAAGCGAUGCCGAGGGUAUCGCGCUCUUGGAUGGGCUCAUGUCCUAUCAGCUUGUUGGUGAGGUGACGGCUCACCAAGGCUUCGACGGGUAGCUGGUCUGAGAGGACGAUCAGCCACACUGGCACUGCGACACGGGCCAGACUCCUACGGGAGGCAGCAGUAAGGAAUAUUGCGCAAUGGGCGAAAGCCUGACGCAGCGACGCCGCGUGAGGGAUGAC
rnacentral:rRNA from 1 species